GACGAACGCUGGCGGCGUGCUUAACACAUGCAAGUCGAACGGAAAGGCCCUGCUUUUGUGGGGUGCUCGAGUGGCGAACGGGUGAGUAACACGUGAGUAACCUGCCCUUGACUUUGGGAUAACUUCAGGAAACUGGGGCUAAUACCGGAUAGGAGCUCCUGCUGCAUGGUGGGGGUUGGAAAGUUUCGGCGGUUGGGGAUGGACUCGCGGCUUAUCAGCUUGUUGGUGGGGUAGUGGCUUACCAAGGCUUUGACGGGUAGCCGGCCUGAGAGGGUGACCGGCGGCGUGGGGAGGGGGAUCAGCCCCAGACGCCUACGGAAGCCAGCGGGGGGUAAUGAGGGCGCGGGGGCGGCAGCCUAGCGCGGCACGGCGGCGGGCGGAAGGACGGCCUUCGGUGUGGCGAGCGCGUGCGCCGGGGACGGGGCGGGAGGGGCGGUAGUGGGUAAAGGAGAACCGGCUAACCACGUGCAAGCGGCGGCGGUAAAAGUCGAACCCGCAUACAUUGAAC
rnacentral:rRNA from 1 species